rnacentral:lncRNA from 1 species
GAGAGAAAAAGUAUCGGGGCCCUGCUCUCAAGGUGCAGAGUCCUUCCUGGAUGCAGCCUCAACCAUACAUUCUGCAGCAUCCUGGUGCCGUGUUAACUCCCUCCAUGGAACACACCAUGUCACUACAACCUGCUUCUAUGAUCAGCCCUCUGGCCCAGCAGAUGAGUCACCUGUCACUAGGCAGCACCGGAACAGAAGCAAGUGGCCAGCAGCAGGUGACUGUGGAGACGUCUAAUGACCAUUCUCCAUAUACCUUUCCACCCAAUAAGUAACUGUGAGAUGUACCGAAGGGAGUUCUUACAUGAAGAAGGGUGUGAAGGCUGAACAAUCAUGGAUUUUUCUGAUCAAUUGUGCUUUAGGAAAUUAUUGACAGUUUUGCACAGGUUCUUGAAAACGUUAUUUAUAAUGAAAUCAACUAAAACUAUUUUUGCUAUAAGUUCUAUAAGGUGCAUAAAACCCUUAAAUUCAUCUAGUAGCUGUUCCCCUGAACAGGUUUAUUUUAGUAAAAAACAAAAACAAAACGG